GCCACUGCAAUUCGUUAAUCCCUUUGGAAAAUUGCUUAAGCCUGGCAUGUUUUGUAAUGAACUUUAUCUCUUCACUACCAAAAGUCGUAAAAAGGAACUUCAGUGAGGAAAGAAACACAAUUGAUAAUUGAAUAUUUCAAAGAGAUCAGCAUUUUAGAAAACUGGCUUUUUGGAUUGGCUCACAGUUUUCCUACUUUUCUGUCCUGUCAGUUGAGAAGAAUACAUUUCAAGAGAUGCUCUUGGAAAACACGUUUGAUGGAGAGGUUGAUUUUUGUAACCUGUAUGCCGUAGUCAGAAGAGCCGUCCUCUGGCAGAUAUGUGAAAGAACUGCCUAUGAGGAGCGAGAGGCUACUUCGCACACCUCGCAGCUCAGGUCCCCGGAGACGGCUUUACAGGCACACAAGCCCCUCUCCCAAGCCAUCUGCCAGGAGCCCCAUGAGGAACACAGCACAGCGCCUGCAUCAGAAGCCCAUGGGUUUGCCUAUCACAUGUCUUGUUUUCUCCUGAUCCGUGGCUCACAGGCUCAGUGUGACCCAACCUCCUAGAUUUCCCCAUCAGUGCUAUUUGCAGUGCCCCCAAGCACUUUCCUCCACUCCAGUCCCUGAGCGCAUGCCAACGGCCCUAUUUUCAGCCACCCCUCUCCAUGCCUCUUGUCUGUCUCUAGCUGACAAGCAGAUUAUCUCUUCUGUCCACUUUGUUUGCCAAUGUACUUUGGCACCAUUGAAUUCCAACACAUGAAGUAAACUGAACUGUGUACAACGCUGAGCACACACGUGGUUUGGAGAGCAGCCCCUUGUCAGGAUCCAAAAUGUUCCCAAGCCUUGUUGAUAUUUGGGUCACUGCAGAUCUCUGAGUCCCCCUUCCUUUUUAAUCUUCUUCCCCUCAACUCAUUCUCAAUUUCUCUCUCUGAAACCACCUGUGAACACACUUAUGCAUUCAAAUAGAUGCAUACUGUUCAUGCUUAUAUUUUUCUGUAACCGUCAUAUCUAAUAAAUACUUAUCAUCCAGGAAAAAAA
rnacentral:lncRNA from 1 species